UCUGGAGCCACUUAGAGCCAGCUGGAGCUGGUUGGAGCCAGGUGGAGCCAGUGGGAGAUGGUCAGAGCUGGUUCCCCACACCUGUGUUCAAAUGACUGUCAACCAUCUUUUGGGAGCUGCUACUGGUCAGACUGGCUUUAUGGCAUGACAGACUCCAGCCUGGUGGCUUGGUACAUGCCUGAUGCAAGCCACAGUGCCCUCUGAGUGCUCUGCUCCAUGGUCUGGGCUGUGGGACAAGUCCUGUGGGACAAGCCCUACCCCACCUGACCCCCUAGGGAGCCCCCACAACUUCUGACAACCUGCCCCACUGUGACCACUGUACUUUUGCUGGUGGGGACAACACAGUGGUAGUGUCUUUGGGCAACCUCCUCACCCAACCCAUUAUGCUUAAGGAAGAUGAAAGUGUUCACCUUGGGACCCACGAGGACACUGGAGAGGCAAGCACACCACCAGAGAAAGAGGUACAUAGAACAACAAAGGAAGAUGAAAGAAACCAUACCCACCAUGGUGAGCGAAACAGGAGACUUGGCUACACUGACAUGGAAAAGGCUGAAGUACUCAACAACUUUUUUGCCUCAGUCUUCACCGGUCUUCUACUUAUGGGUUACUAAUAACAUAAUGCUGAGAAGGAUUAUGUAAUAGGACAUCGCCUCUUCAAGGAACGUAAAAUAAUAGGAUGGGUUUUAUUGUAAGUUUUUUUAGAUUUUACACAUACCCAUUGUAUUCAUUUAUAUAUAUAUAUAUUUUUUUUUUUUAGAUAAUGAAUGGAGUCUCUUGCUUUUGAAUACUCAAAGCAACCGUGGUGAUGUACGUAUAACUAAGCUUAAGAGGUUCACGGAGUGUCUACUUAAAAGGCUGUGAAAGGAAAUAUAUCUUGCAUACAAAAUGAAGGAUUUAGUUUGAGUUCAACUGAGAUCUUAACAGUCUAAUUAAUAAAUUUGUCCAGGUUUAAUUAGUAGAGGGGAAAAAAAAAAAAGAAAAUAAAAGAAAAAUGCAUUUCAGAAAAUUUAAUAAUCCUAAAGUUUAAAUUAUUAGACACACACUUUUUUUUGUAUCUACCAUUUCCUCUGGUGUUAUGCUCACACUCUCGCUGCCCCUAAGAGUCCUCUGGUCCUGAAUUUGCUAUAUUGUUCUAUAUGUGAUGUAUAUUUGGUGCUUUGUCUGUUUUACUUUUUUUUGAUGGAUUGUUUGUAGUCCUGGGAUCUCCUGUGCCCUUUGUAUUAUUGUCCCAUCCCAGUAAUCCUCUAUCCUGCAUUCUGGGCCCCACUUUCAAGGCCCUUUCUAUCAUGUCAGACCUAUUUUCAUCUAAAAUAAAAUUUUGUAUUCACAGUGAACACUUCUGUCCACUCAAAUUACCAACUUGUUACUACUACCUGUACAAAAAUUGUGGUUAUGCCACACAAUUAUACAAAGUUAAGCGAAACCAAUGAGAACUGCUUGCUCAUGAGAAAAUUGCUGUUACAGCUAAACAAGCUAAAAGAAAGCUCCAGGCAAGCCAAGAGGAGUUCAGACACACACAGCCUGUCGAGCCUCAGUCCAGUUGGUGCAAAGCCUCUGGCCAGUAGCUAGCAAUGGCGAUGCUGCAUCUACCAGCCGAAGUGGUUCCAAAGCAAGGUAAUGCUGUCUGGGUUGCGUACUCUCUGCUUAAAGGCAAGCUUUUGUUAGAAGAGGUUGGCUUGAUUCUGGGAUUCCUCAUGGUGCCAAGUGGUACCCUCAUGGCAGAAUACAUUGCUGUGUUGUUUAAGGGUGAUUUUUCAGCUCAAAUUAUAGAAAAGAAAAUGUGAAGGUUCUGUUGAAGACAACAAGUCAUCCUUUUUUUUUUUUUUUUUUAGUUCAAAAUUCAGUGUGCAUGUUGCUUUGUGGCAUGAUCAUGAGGAAGUAGAAUUUAAAGAGCUACUUAGGCAAAGUAGUGUUAGAGGACAAAGGAGGAUGAAGGUGGUUCAU